rnacentral:misc_RNA from 1 species
GUGAAUCAUCAAAUCUUUGAACGCAAAUUGCACUCUCUGGUAUUCCGGAGAGUAUGCCUGUUUGAGGGUCAGUUUAAAUAAAAAUCGGUGUGGUUGCUUCCUUUCGUGGUGACGCACCGGGUUUGGGUCGUCUGCCCGUCGUUUAAGUGACCUAAAAUUUUGCAUGAUUUUUUUCGAACGUAUUGAAAUGCUUGUACGGACGUUGGCGAUAUCGAAUACUAGGUGU